rnacentral:rRNA from 1 species
AUUGAACGCUGGCGGAAUGCUUUACACAUGCAAGUCGAACGGCAGCACGGACUUCGGUCUGGUGGCGAGUGGCGAACGGGUGAGUAAUACAUCGGACGGUGCCCAGUCGUGGGGGAUAACGUAGCGAAAGCUACGCUAAUAGCGCAUACGAUCUAAAGUCGAAAGCAGGGGAUCGCAAUACCUUGCACCAUUGGAGCGGCCGAUGGCAGAUUAGGUAGUUGGUAGGGUAAAGGCCUACCAAGCCGACGAUCUGUAGCUGGUCUGAGAGGAUGAUCAGCCACACUGGGACUGAGACACGGCCCAGACUCCUACGGGAGGCAGCAGUGGGGAAUUUUGGACAAUGGGCGCAAGCCUGAUCCAGCCAUUCCGCGUGCAGGAUGAAGGCCUUCGGGUUGUAAACUGCUUUUGUACAGAACGAAAAGGCUCUGGUUAAUACCCGGGGCUCAUGACGGUACUGUAAGAAUAAGCACCGGCUAACUACGUGCCAGCCGCCGCAGUAA